rnacentral:rRNA from 1 species
UACGUAGGUGGCUUGGUAAGUCGGAUGUGAAAGCCCUGGGCUUAACCUGGGAACUGCAUCCGAAACUGCCUGGCUGGAGUAAGGGAGAGGGAAGUGGAAUUUCCGGUGUAGCGGUGAAAUGCGUAGAUAUCGGAAGGAACACCAGUGGCGAAGGCGACUUCCUGGCCCAUUACUGACACUGAGGUACGAAAGCGUGGGGAGCAAACA